CCUACGGGAGGCAGCAGUGGGGGAUCUUGCACAAUGGGGGAAACCCUGAUGCAGCGACGCCGCGUGCGUGAAGAAGUAUUUCGGUAUGUAAAGCUCUAUCAUAAGGGAAGAAAAUGCCAGUACCUGACCAAGAAGCCUCGGCUAACUACGUGCCAGCAGCCGCGGUCAUACGUAGGGGGCAAGCGUUAUCCGGAUUUACUGGGUGUAAAGGGAGCGUAGACGGUUAUGUAAGUCUGAAGUGAAAGCCCGGGGUCAAACCCCGGGAGUGCUUUGGAAACUGGGUAACUGGAGUACAGGAGGGGCAAGCGGAAUUCCUUGUGUAGCGGUGAAAUGCGUAGAGAUCAGGAGGAACACCAGCGGCGAAGGCGGCCUGCUGGACUGAAACUGACGUUGAGGCUCGAAAGCGUGGGGAGCAAACAGGAUUAGAUACCCUUGUAGUC
rnacentral:rRNA from 1 species